GACGUAGGGUGCAAGCGUUUGUCCGGAUUUACUGGGCGUAAAGAGCGCGUAGGCGGUCUGUUAAGUGUGAAGUGAAAUCUCCAGGGCUCAACCCGGAAACUGCUUCGCAUACUGGCAGACUGGAGGGAUGCAGAGGUGAGUGGAAUUCCUGGUGUACCGGUGAAAUGGGUAGAUAUCAGGAGGAACACCCGUGGCGAAGGCGGCUCACUGGGCAUCUCCUGACGCUGAGGCGCGAAAGUGUGGGUAGCAAACAGG
rnacentral:rRNA from 1 species